ensembl:lncRNA
GAAACCAGUGUUCAUGUAAGGUGAAGUAGGUAGCGCAUAAAUGUAAGUUAAGAUGCUGCAGCAGCAUGGAGGCAAAAGCUGUAUUUUAAAUACAUUUAGAAGAAAACACACACUUUCCCAGAACCAUGUCCCACUGGAUAUAGAAUAUCUCCAAGGAGGGAGAUUUGAGACCCUCUCUGGGCAACAAGUUCCAGUGUUUGACCACCAAAACAGUAAAAUAAAUAAAUAAAUAGAAUGAUGGAUAAAUAAAUAAAAAUAUAAAUAAAUAAAUAAAUAAUCAAGAAAAAAGUCGUAUAUUUAAGUAAAUUUUUUUUUCUUUUUCUUUUUCUUUUUUUUUCUGCUGUGGCCAUUGUCUCUUGCCCUGUCAUUAGGCAAUACUGAGACGUAGUGCUUUCUGAAGUCUGGCCUUCCCGUCUUCAUUCCCUCCCAUCAGGUAUUUGUAUGCGCUAAUAAUAAUUCCCAGAACCCUUUUUCUCUACAGGCUGAACAGUCCCAGCUCUCUCAGCCUCUCCUCAUAUGGAAAAAGCUUCAGGUCCUUAAAUCAUAUUUGUGUUCCUUAACUGGACUUACUCCAGUAAGCCCAUAUCCUUCUUGCACUGAGGAGAUUACAACUGGACAUAGCACUUAAGAUGUGUUUCACCGGUGCUGAGUAGAGGGAGCACUGAUCACCUCUCUUGAUCUGCUGGCACUGCUCUUCUAUAUACAGUGCAGGAUGCUGUUGGCAUUCUUUUCUGUGCGGGUGCAUUGCAUAUCGUCAGUUUGAUGUUUACCAGGACUCCAAGAUCCUCUCUCCAGAUCUGCUUUCCAGCUGGUCAUGUACAGGAGCUUGGGGUCAUUCCUCUCCAGGUGCAGGACUUUCUCCUUGAAUGUUAAGACACUCUCUUCAGUCCAGUUUUUCAGCCCAUCAACAUCCCUCUAAAUGGCAGCAUGACCCUCCGGCAUAUCAGACUCAAUUUUGCACUAUCUGCAAACUUGCUGUUGGAACACUCUGGUGCAAUGGAACACUCUCUUCCAUUGUUCAAGUCAUUAAAGAAGGCAUUAAAACCUAUUGGGCCCAGUAUCAACCUCUGGGUGGCACCAGUAUCAACCCCUGGAGUACACUACUUGUGACCUUGAGAUGGCGGCGACCGGAGGCUCCGGAGGCCACUGAGGGUUCUGAUCCAUCAGCUCACCGCCAUCACGGCAUCUGAGACUUUAACAGACCACAAAAUGUCACAGCAUUCUCCACAAAAUGAACAGAGAAGAAGCAAAGAUACACUGGCACCCUCGAGAAAUUACAUUCAUCCCUGGUAUUGGUACUGACUGGAGAUCACAUCUUCAUGGGAUAUGAAGAACGUGAUUGGUGCUCUUGGGUUUUAUGGUUACUUAAGUUUGCAGAGACUAUUAUCUGUCAAGUAACAUUGCAGUUUAAACUACUCUGUUUCAACAGAAUUUGUAACCUUGGGUUUUAAACCAAUCGUUAGCAUGCUGUGUAUUUUGCCUGCACCUUCCACAGUGGCAAACAUUGUACAGAGUGUUUAUAUGGAGCUUUAGUGUUCUUUUCCAUAGUGCAUACAGUGCAGAUAUUAAAUAAUUACUUGAUCUCCUUAAGUAUACUAGGCAAAAUUCCACUCUCCAAUACACAAUCAAAACUUUCAUUGAUUGCAGUCUUUGUAGAUUCAAUGGGAGUUGAGUCCAGACUUUGUAUCUGAAGGUAGAAUGUGACCCACAUUCUUCCAUUAACUGGCCUUAUCCCGUACAGUUCUUUAUCAAGUUCAAGGUAAAAAAAAAAAAAAAAAAAAAAAAAAAAAGAGAGAGAGAGAGAGAGACAGACAGACAGAUUAAUGGAUAGAGAAAGAGACAGUGAGAAAUAAAGGGCUCUUAGAGAUUUCUGAUGAGCA